GGAGUUAGCCGGUGCUUCUUCUGUGAGUGAUGUCCUUCCUGCCGGCUAUUAACCCGCAGGCCUUCUUCCUCACUGAAAGUGCUUUACAACCCGAAGGCCUUCUUCACACACGCGGCAUGGCUGGAUCAGGGUUGCCCCCAUUGUCCAAUAUUCCCCACUGCUGCCUCCCGUAGGAGUCUGGGCCGUGUCUCAGUCCCAGUGUGGCUGAUCAUCCUCUCAGACCAGCUACGGAUCGUCGCCUUGGUGAGCCGUUACCUCACCAACCAGCUAAUCCGACAUAGGCUCAUCCGAUAGCGCGAGGCCCGAAGGUCCCCCGCUUUCCCCCGUAGGGCGUAUGCGGUAUUAGCCUGGGUUUCCCCAGGUUAUCCCCCACUACCGGGCAGAUUCCUAUGCAUUACUCACCCGUCCGCCGCUCGCCACCAGGGAGCAAGCUCCCCGUGCUGCCGCUCGACUUUCAUGUGUUAGGCCUGCCGCCAGCGUUCAAUCUGAGCCAUGAUCAAACUCUGA
rnacentral:rRNA from 1 species